rnacentral:lncRNA from 1 species
UAUGACUCACAGAUCAUCAAUUUCUCCAAAUUCCUUGCUUUCUAAGAAGAACGAUUGGACCGAUCAUAUCCUUCGAGAUGGCAGACACUAAAGCGCAGUGAAGUACAGAUAACUCAGACUGUAGUCUUCGCUUUGAUCCCUCUUUUGCCUGGAUCGCCCUUUCGGGUUUUCAAUCCACCGGGAUACCCAUUUUUUUGCUAAGCCGCCCUUGCGGGUUUUCGACUUACCAGGUGUACAUAUUCUUUUUAUUUUUUAU